rnacentral:rRNA from 1 species
UGGGGAAUAUUGCACAAUGGGCGCAAGCCUGAUGCAGCCAUGCCGCGUGUAUGAAGAAGGCCUUCGGGUUGUAAAGUACUUUCAGCGGGGAGGAAGGUGUUGAGGUUAAUAACCUCAGCACUUGACGUUACCCGCAGAAGAAGCACCGGCUAACUCCGUGCCAGCAGCCGCGGUAAUACGGAGGGUGCAAGCGUUAAUCGGAAUUACUGGGCGUAAAGCGCACGCAGGCGGUCUGUCAAGUCGGAUGUGAAAUCCCCGGGCUCAACCUGGGAACUGCAUUCGAAACUGGCAGGCUAGAGUCUUGUAGAGGGGGGUAGAAUUCCAGGUGUAGCGGUGAAAUGCGUAGAGAUCUGGAGGAAUACCGGUGGCGAAGGCGGCCCCCUGGACAAAGACUGACGCUCAGGUGCGAAAGCGUGGGGAGCAAACA